UACAGAGGUCCCAAGCGUUGUUCGGAUUCAUUGGGCGUAAAGGGUGCGUAGGCGGCGCGGUAAGUCGGGUGUGAAAUCUCGGGGCUUAACUCCGAAACUGCAUUCGAUACUGUCGUGCUUGAGGACUGGAGAGGAGACUGGAAUUUACGGUGUAGCGGUGAAAUGCGUAGAUAUCGUAAGGAAGACCAGUGGCGAAGGCGAAUCUCUGGACAGUUACUGACACUGAGGCACGAAGGCCAGGGGAGCAAACGGG
rnacentral:rRNA from 1 species